CCGAUGUUACUUUCUCGAAAAGGAUAAGAACCUUGUUCAAUAAGGCAAAUGAACAUUCAACUCGGCCCGUAACGAAUGUUGGUGUUAUUCUGCUUUCUACAAGUGGAAAAUCAUGUUGCCGUGGUUUCACACGUGUGGAAAAAAUAACUGAUAAUUUUUUUGAAGGAAAGCUAGUAGAUCUCAAACUAUAUCUUGUUGAGUGGGCAAAUCAGAUCUGUUUAAGACAUUUGAAUAUCUUUGUAAAGAAAUGAGAAAGAAAAACAACAAAUACUAACGAAUAAGAUCAUGCUCGUCUUAGAAAUACCAUUAGAUUAAUGUAGGUUGGAGCAAUUGUUGGCAAUUGUCGCGGGCGAAAAAAGUUAAAGAAAAAACAAGUACUUGUGUAAAGACUGGGCUACUCAAGUUUGAUUUAAUUGUUGCUCAGAGACAAAAGAAGACUGAGUUCAACUUAAGAACUUCAAUGCCUUAUUUUUUGCGGUAAAAAAAUCUUUGAUAAAUAAACGAAGACGAUGAUGGAAGACUAACAACUUUCGUAAUAACAAAGACAAGAAUCGUCCAAUAUUUAAAAACUCCAUGGCUAGUAAAGUCUCCUGUAAACACAAGUCUAAAUUCAAGAGCUCCAGUUACUACCUCCAUGAUAAUUGUAAGUUCGUGAACUCUCCGCAUCUUCAGUCUCCGGGGCAACAUUUAAAUCUAAUUUUGUAGCUCUCCCUUUUCACAACGUCUAGUUUCUUCUGAACUUUUUCUGCCCGCGACUUAAUUGCCAACAGUUGCUCCUACAUGUGUUAUCUGGCGGUAUUUCUCAGCC
rnacentral:lncRNA from 1 species